rnacentral:rRNA from 1 species
GAUGAACGCUGGCGGCGUGCCUAAUACAUGCAAGUCGAGCGAACAGACGAGGAGCUUGCUCCUCUGACGUUAGCGGCGGACGGGUGAGUAACACGUGGAUAACCUACCUAUAUGACUGGGAUAACUUCGGGAAACGGGAGCUUAUACCGGAUAAUCUAUUGAACCGCAGGGUUGAAUAGUGAAAUACGGUGUUGCUGUAACUUAUAGAUGGUUCCGGGCCGCAGUGGAUGGUUGGUAAGGUAACGGGUUACGAAGGCAACGAUGCGUAGACGAAUGGAGAGACGGGUAGGCGACCUGGGAGGGGGACCGCGGUCAAUACUCCUACGGGAGGCAGCAGACGCGAACCGGACGCAGAAGUCGAAAGCCUUACGGAGCGACGCGGCGUGAGUGAUAAAGGUGUUCGGUGCGUGAAACUCUGUUAUUAGGUAAGAACAAAUGUGUAAGUAACUAUGCACGUCUUGACGGUACCUAAUAAGAAAGCAACGGCUAACUACGUG